ACACAACUUCGCAAGCAUGAAAUUGGCGAAUUCAACCUAAAGUCAAAAUUAUAGGAACUUUACGUAGGUCUACAGUUUUAAUUUUGGACUCAUGCACUAGGAAUAUCAUAUCAGCAGAAUUGUGCCACUGAAUCAAAGGGAACUCUUUUUUUUUUAGGUACGCAUGAUCGAUGUAACUUCCUCGAUGGUGUGUUGGCUGUUUGCCCAUGUGUAUUUCAGGGUAUAGGAGUAGCCUCCCCUUUUAAAGAUCCAAAAUGGUGAUUUUACAGUGCGGCAUGCAGUCUGGUCAUCAACGAGGAGUUUUGACACCUGUAAUACCCAUAUUUCUACCAUUCACCUCUGUAACU